ACAUGGAGUCACAUCAUCUCAUGUUAGCGCUCUGAUUGCAGGGGCGCUAUUUUU
rnacentral:sRNA from 1 species